UUGAAACCUAGUGAUGUAUGGAUUAGUGGCGGACGGGUGAGUAACGCGUGGAUAACCUGCCGUAUACAGGGGGAUAACACUUAGAAAUAGGUGCUAAUACCGCAUAAGCGCACGGUUCCGCAUGGAACAGUGUGAAAAACUCCGGUGGUAUACGAUGGAUCCGCGUCUGAUUAGCCAGUUGGCGGGGUAACGGCCCACCAAAGCGACGAUCAGUAGCCGGCCUGAGAGGGUGAACGGCCACAUUGGGACUGAGACACGGCCCAAACUCCUACGGGAGGCAGCAGUGGGGAAUAUUGCACAAUGGGGGAAACCCUGAUGCAGCGACGCCGCGUGAGUGAAGAAGUAUUUCGGUACGUAAAGCUCUAUCAGCAGGGAAGAAAAUGACGGUACCUGACUAAGAAGCCCCGGCUAACUACGUGCCAGCAGCCGCGGUAAUACGUAGGGGGCAAGCGUUAUCCGGAUUUACUGGGUGUAAAGGGAGCGUAGACGGCAGCGCAAGUCUGGAGUGAAAUGCCGGGGCCCAACCCCGGAACUGCUUUGGAAACUGUGCAGCUCGAGUGCAGGAGAGGUAAGCGGAAUUCCUAGUGUAGCGGUGAAAUGCGUAGAUAUUAGGAGGAACACCAGUGGCGAAGGCGGCUUACUGGACUGUAACUGACGUUGAGGCUCGAAAGCGUGGGGAGCAAACAGGAUUAGAUACCCUGGUAGUCCACGCCGUAAACGAUGAUUACUAGGUGUCGGGGGGCCAAGGCCCUCCGGUGCCGCCGCAAACGCAUUAAGUAAUCCACCUGGGGAGUACGUUCG
rnacentral:rRNA from 1 species